rnacentral:rRNA from 1 species
AUAGAACAGAGAGUUUAACUGGGGUAGUUUUUUUGUAAAAUCUGAGGUUGUAAAAGGCAUGUAAAGUGGGGUUAGGUCCUUUAGAUAAGGAUAAUUUGAGUGAGUUACUUUAGGGAUAACAGCGUAAUAGUCCUAGGGAGAUCGUAUCUAUGGGAUUGAUUGCGACCUCGAUGUUGAAUUAAAAGAUCAGUGUAGAGCAGGAGCUACAGGGUGAGGGUUUGUUCAACCUUUAAAUUUUUACAUGAUC